UACAUGGGGUGCAAACGUUGCUCGGAAUUAUUGGGCGUAAAGCGCGCGUAGGCGGUUACUUAAGUCGGAUGUGAAAGCCCUCGGCUUAACUGAGGAAGUGCACCCGAAACUGAGUAGCUAGAGUACGAAAGAGGGUCGCGGAAUUCCCGGUGUAGAGGUGAAAUUCGUAGAUAUCGGGAGGAACACCGGUGGCGAAGGCGGCGACCUGGGUCGAGACUGACGCUGAGGCGCGAAAGCGUGGGGGAGCAAACAGG
rnacentral:rRNA from 1 species